rnacentral:lncRNA from 1 species
GCGGAACUUGGGGACUGGCAAAACAGUCAGGAAUUCAGGACACAGAAAUGAAUUUGAGGAACAGGAAUCCUAGACAACUGUAGGAACGGAAAGGGUUCGCCUUUUCCUGCCUACUGAUGUGGUCUGUGUGAAGGCAGUAUAUGACACUUGCCAAAGGCUAAGGACUCGUGCCGCACAGUAUAACUAGUCAUUGGAGUUCAGAAGCAAGGCAAAAGCCAAGAUGACUUCUGGUGAUUCAAGAUGCAGUGAAUGGCCUUGGCUUCUGUGGUGUCUAAACAAGAUCUAAGUGUUUGCUCUACAGCACUUGAUUCUGCCACCUUCAGGGAAGUUGGAACAAUAUUCUCAUUUGCCCUUUCCACAAGGGUCAGUCUUUAUAUGACUGGGAUAGAUAUUCUCCUAAAUGAUGGAUGUGUCUGAGGCCCGUCAGUUACUGUCAAUCUGGUUUAGCCUACAUGAUGAGGUGGUUUAUUGGAGUGUGGCUACUGCACAUACUACAGCUUCUUGGAAUCACAGCUAUUCAUCCAACGAUGUUAUGCUUCAUGGAUGGGAGGUACGGAAUAUCACAUUCUCUGAAGAAUCAAAACUUUGGGUGAUCCAACAGGCCACUGAACAUCAACAAAAGUUGGGCCCAUCAUACAACAAAAAGAAAAUGAUCUUUUUAAAAGAAGCUCUGGGAAAAUGAAGAAUGUAUUUAUAUUUUAUAAUUCUAUUUGGUAGUCACACAGGAUCUAUUAUGUUCAAUUUUGUAAAAAAUAUAUUUGUUUAGAACUGCCUAAUUCUAAAAUAGUUACAUUAAAGUUCCCAAAAUUAUUACUUUGCUUGUUAUUAUUUCCCAUCUAUUAAUUAUGCCUUUAGAUAUUUAUGUUAUGCCAUUUGAUAUAUGUUUAUAUAAAUUUUAUUUCACUUUGUAUUAUAUCAUUAAGAUUAAUCCAAUCUCCCUAGCUAUUUAAUUCAUAUUUUUAUUGUUGCUUUAGCUGAGACUAUGAUGGCCACUCAUGCUUUCAUUUAGCUUUAAUAAAUACUGUUCCAGUACUUU